rnacentral:rRNA from 1 species
GACGAACGCUGGCGGCGUGCUUAACACAUGCAAGUCGAACGGUAAUGCCCUGCUUUUGUGGGGUGCUCGAGUGGCGAACGGGUUAGUAACCCGGUAAUAACCUGCCCUUGACUUUGGGAUAACUUCAGGAAACUGGCGCUAAUACCGGAUAGGAGCUCCUGCUGCAUGGUGGGGGUCGGAAAGUUUCGGCGGAUGGGGAUGGACUCGCGGCUUAUCAGCUUGUUGGUGGGGUAGUGGCUUACCAAGGCUUUGACGGGUAGCCGGCCUGAGAGGGUGACCGGCCACAUUGGGACUGAGAUACGGCCCAGACUCCUACGGGAGGCAGCAGUGGGGAAUAUUGCACAAUGGGCGGAAGCCUGAUGCAGCAACGCCGCGUGCGGGAUGACGGCCUUCGGGUUGUAAACCGCUUUCGCCUGUGACGAAGCGUGAGUGACGGUAAUGGGUAAAGAAGCACCGGCUAACUACGUG